AUGAACGCUGGCGGCGUGCCUAAUACAUGCAAGUCGAGCGAACAGACGAGGAGCUUGCUCCUCUGACGUUAGCGGCGGACGGGUGAGUAACACGUGGAUAACCUACCUAUAAGACUGGGAUAACUUCGGGAAACCGGAGCUAAUACCGGAUAAUUUAUUGAACCGCAUGGUUCAAUAGUGAAAGACGGUUUUGCUGUCACUUAUAGAUGGAUCCGCGCCGCAUUAGCUAGUUGGUAAGGUAACGGCUUACCAAGGCAACGAUGCGUAGCCGACUUGAGAGGGUGAUCGGCCACACUGGAACUGAGACACGGUCCAGACUCCUACGGGAGGCAGCCGUAGGGAAUCUUCCGCAAUGGGCGAAAGCCUGACGGAGCAACACCGCGUGAGUGAUGAAGGUCUUCGGAUCAUAAAACUCUGUUAUUAGGGAAGAACAAAUGUGUAAGUAACUAUGCACGUCUUGACGGUACCUAAGCAGAAAGCCACGGCUAACUACGUG
rnacentral:rRNA from 1 species